rnacentral:rRNA from 1 species
GUAGGUGGCAAGCGUUGUCCGGAAUUAUUGGGCGUAAAGUGCGCGCAGGCGGUCCUUUAAGUCUGAUGUGAAAGCCCACGGCUCAACCGUGGAGGGUCAUUGGAAACUGGGGGACUUGAGUACAGAAGAGGAAAGCGGAAUUCCAAGUGUAGCGGUGAAAUGCGUAGAGAGUUGGAGGAACACCAGUGGCGAAGGCGGCUUUCUGGUCUGUAACUGACGCUGAGGCGCGAAAGCGUGGGGAGCAAACAGGGAUUAGAUACCCUGGUAGUCCACGCCGUAAACGAUGAGUGCUAAGUGUUAGGGGGUUUCCCGCCCCUUAGUGCUGCAGCUAACGCAUUAAGCACUCCGCCUGGGGAUACGGCCGCAAGGCUG